AUUGAACGCUGGCGGCAUGCCUAACACAUGCAAGUCGAACGUGUGGCGGACGGGUGAGUAAUGUCUGGGAAACUGCCUGAUGGAGGGGUAUAACUACUGGAAACGGUACCUAAUACCGCAUACCAUCGGUUCUGCCCAGAUGGGAUUAGCUAGUAGGUGGGGUAAAGGCUCACCUAGGCGACGAUCCCUAGCUGGCCUGAGAGGGUGACCAGCCACACGGGAACUGCGACACGGCCCAGACUCCUACGGGGGGCAGCAGUGGGGAAUAUUGGGCAAUGGGCGAAAGCCUGAUACAGACAUGCCGCGUGUAUGAAGAAGGCCUUCGGGUUGUAAAGUACUUUCAGCGGGGAGGCGUUACCCAAAGAAGAAGCACCGGCUAACUACGUGCCAGCCGCCGCGGUAAUUC
rnacentral:rRNA from 1 species